rnacentral:rRNA from 1 species
GAUGAACGCUGGCGGCGUGCUUAACACAUGCAAGUCGAACGGAAAGGCCCCGGCUUGCUGGGGUACUCGAGUGGCGAACGGGUGAGUAACACGUGGGUGAUCUGCCCUGCACUUUGGGAUAAGCUUGGGAAACUGGGUCUAAUACCGAAUAUGACCACUUCUUGGAUGUUGUGGUGGAAAGCUUUUGCGGUGUGGGAUGAGCCUGCGGCCUAUCAGCUUGUUGGUGGGGUAAUGGCCUACCAAGGCGGCGACGGGUAUCCGGCCUGAGAGGGUGUACGGACACAUUGGGACUGGGAUACGGCCCAGACUCCUACGGGAGGCAGCAGUGGGGAAUAUUGCACAAUGGGCGCAAGCCUGAUGCAGCGACGCCGCGUGGGGGAUGAAGGCCUUCGGGUCGUAAACUCCUUUCGCUAUCGACGAAGCCACUUGUGGUGACGGUAGGUAGAUAAGAAGCACCGGCUAACUACGUGCCAGCAGCCGCGGUAA